rnacentral:rRNA from 1 species
GAUGAACGCUGGCGGCGUGCCUAAUACAUGCAAGUCGAACGCGAGCACUUGUGCUCGAGUGGCGAACGGGUGAGUAAUACAUAAGUAACCUGCCCUAGACAGGGGGAUAACUAUUGGAAACGAUAGCUAAGACCACAUAGGUACGGACACUGCAUGGUGACCGUAUUAAAAGUGCCUCAAAGCACUGGUAGAGGAUGGACCUAUGGCGCAUUAGCUGGUUGGCGGGGUAACGGCCCACCAAGGCGACGAUGCGUAGCCGACCUGAGAGGGUGACCGGCCACACUGGGACUGAGACACGGCCCAGACUCCUACGGGAGGCAGCAGUAGGGAAUUUUCGGCAAUGGGGGAAACCCUGACCGAGCAACGCCGCGUGAAGGAAGAAGGUUUUCGGAUUGUAAACUUCUGUUAUAAAGGAAGAACGGCGGCUACAGGAAAUGGUAGCCGAGUGACGGUACUUUAUUAGAAAGCCACGGCUAACUACGUGCCAGCCGCCGCAGUAACAC